UCGAGGGGCAGCAUGAACUUAGCUUGCUAAGUUUGAUGGCGACCGGCGCACGGGUGAGUAACACGUAUCCAACCUGCCGAUGACUCGGGGAUAGCCUUUCGAAAGAAAGAUUAAUACCCGAUGGCAUAGUUCUUCCGCAUGGUGGAACUAUUAAAGAAUUUCGGUCAUCGAUGGGGAUGCGUUCCAUUAGGUUGUUGGCGGGGCAACGGCCCACCAAGCCCACGAUAUCUAGGGGUUCUGAGAGGAAGGUCCCCACACUGGUACUGAGACACGGACCAAACUCC
rnacentral:rRNA from 1 species